AGCUUUGUGCAGUGGCGGUUCUGUAGCCAAUGAAGUUUUACGAGGUGUGAUUAUUGCUAAUUGAAAAUUAUUCCUAAAAUGAU
rnacentral:snRNA from 1 species